rnacentral:rRNA from 1 species
AGCGGACAGAUGGGGAGCUUGCUCCCUGAUGUCAGCGGCGGACGCGGUGAGUAACACGUGGGUAACCUGCCUGUAAGACUGGGAUAACUCCGGGAAACCGGGGCUAAUACCGGAUGCUUGAUUGAACCGCAUGGUUCAAUUAUAAAAGGUGGCUUUUAGCUACCACUUACAGAUGGACCCGCGGCGCAUUAGCUAGUUGGUGAGGUAACGGCUCACCAAGGCAACGAUGCGUAGCCGACCUGAGAGGGUGAUCGGCCACACUGGGACUGAGACACGGCCCAGACUCCUACGGGAGGCAGCAGUAGGGAAUCUUCCGCAAUGGACGAAAGUCUGACGGAGCAACGCCGCGUGAGUGAUGAAGGUUUUCGGAUCGUAAAACUCUGUUGUUAGGGAAGAACAAGUACCGUUCGAAUAGGGCGGUACCUUGACGGUACGUAACCAGAAAGCCACGGCUAACUACGUGCCAGCAUCCGCGGUAAUACGUAGGUGGCAAGCGUUGUCCGGAAUUAUUGGG